CCUACGGGGGGCUGCAGUGGGGAAUAUUGGACAAUGGGGGGAACCCUGAUCCAGCCAUGCCGCGUGUGUGAAGAAGGCCCUCGGGUUGUAAAGCACUUUCAGUGAGGAAGAACGCCUGGUGGUUAAUACCCAUCAGGAAAGACAUCACUCACAGAAGAAGCACCGGCUAACUCCGUGCCAGCAGCCGCGGUAAUACGGAGGGUGCGAGCGUUAAUCGGAAUUACUGGGCGUAAAGCGCGCGUAGGUGGCUUGAUAAGCCGGUUGUGAAAGCCCCGGGCUCAACCUGGGAACGGCAUCCGGAACUGUCAAGCUAGAGUGCAGGAGAGGAAGGUAGAAUUCCCGGUGGAGCGGUGAAAUGCGUAGAGAUCGGGAGGAAUACCAGUGGCGAAGGCGGCCUUCUGGACUGACACUGACACUGAGGUGCGAAAGCGUGGGUAGCAAACAGGAUUAGAUAACCUAGUAGUC
rnacentral:rRNA from 1 species